GUGCUCGCUUUGGCAGCACCUAUAGUAAAAUUGGAACAAUACAGAUACAGAGAAGAUUAGCAUGGCCCCUGUGCAAGGAUGACACACAAAUUCGUGAAGAGCGCCAUAUUUUU
ensembl:snRNA U6 U6 spliceosomal RNA